CUGUAAACGUUACGAUGCUUUCUGAGAGUGACUGGCAAGAUGGCUGAUGCUCCUGAGCCUCUGCCAUGAUGGAAGUACUACUGUAAACGUUACGAUGCUUUCUGAGAGUGACUGGCAAGAUGGCUGAUGCUCCUGAGCCUCUGCUGUGAUGGAAGUACUACUGUAAACGUUACGAUGCUUUCUGAGAGUGACUGGCAAGAUGGCUGAUGCUCCUGAGCCUCUGCUGUGAUGGAAGUACUACUGUAAACGUUACGAUGCUUUCUGAGAGUGACUGGCAAGAUGGCUGAUGCUCCUGAGCCUCUGCUGUGAUGGAAGUACCACUGUAAACGUUACGAUGCGGGAAAAUGGCAAGGCAGAAUAUAAUCUCAUUUCAAUAGUGAAAUGCACAGUUCUCUUUUUGUGUGCGUCUGUGUCCUGCUUUUGAAACUUUCAAUGGUUCUUUUAGCAAAUAAUUUGCUAUCUUAUUUCAAUGUUGCUUAACGAGAAAACAUUACCAGACCUUCUGCGUUCAACCACCAUCCAAGAGCCCAGACCAUUACCAGAUCUACUGCGCUCAACCACCAUCCGAGAGCCCAGACCAUUACCAGAUCUACUGCGCUCAACCACCAUCCGAGAGCCCAGACCAUUACCAGAUCUACUGCGCUCAACCACCAUCCGAGAGCCCAGACCAUUACCAGAUCUACUGCGCUCAACCAUCAUCCAAGAGCCCAGACCAUUACCAGACCUACUGCAUUCCACAGCAGUGGAUCUAUUGUGCUUUGCCCCUUGGCAUGACAGGUUCCGUGGUAACAGUACAUGCUGUGCCAUCAACGCAGGUCUGGUCACCCACAAUGUGACGCUGUUUCCCCCCUGCAGCUUCUGAAAGCCACUGAGGUCUUAAAGACCAACGUCUCCUUUGAACAGUGUUCCACUGUUGGCUUUUCUAAUGUUGCAUGACUGUUACAGUCUUCUGCUGGUCCAAUGUUUUAUAAUAUUAGAUAGAUUAUAUGCUCAUAAGAUUCAAGUCAUGAAACCAAAAUAUAUUGCUUUAGUAUUAGAACUAAUGGUCGGUCCAGAAGCCAUCUCCCACAAUUUUGAAUUGGUCACAUCAUCCCAGCUUUCUUUUGUCAUUUAAAAAAAAAUGUUUUAACUCUUUCUCUCAGGCUGUUCCUGUCCUAUCUCUUCCUAGAAAGAGCUCUGAGUCUUAGUGUGGCCACCCACGGAUGUCCUUGCCAGGUCCUUAAUGGGCCCAGUCUCCUCUCUAUUCUUCACACACACCCUCAUCAUCACUCUGAUUUAUUCAUUGGGUGGGCCAAGGAGCUGGAACACAUGAGUUCAGGCUGAGGAGAGAGAGACUAAUUUAGGGACAUGGUGUCCGUACCCACCUAUCCCUUUGUGACCGACUCUUACUAUCAAACAGCUUGCCAGAGCCCACGCAAGACGUGCAAUAUUUGGUUCUGUGUGUCAAGAUCUGUGCCCUGAUUGGAGAGAUGAUGGGGCUGGUAGUAGAAUUCAGGUUGUUAGUGAUGCUGUUCCCAUCUGCUAGUUAUCAUAUCAGUCAUUUUUAGCCUUUUUAUUUGAACUUUGCUUGAUGCUGUUUAGGUCUAUCUAUCGUUAGCAUCAUAUACCGUUUCCUACAGCUUGUAUUUGGCGAAAGGAAGUUUUAGCUCAGCCAAUGUUAGGGGCAGUUUUUGUGGUUACUGUUUUUAAAAAAAAAUUAUGUAUUUUAUUUAACCUUUUAUUUAACUAGGCAAGUCAGUUAAGAACAAAUUCUUAUUUUACAAUGACGGCCUACUCCGGCCAAAUCUGGACAACACUGGGCCAAUUGUGCGCUGCCCGAUGAGACUCCCAAUCACAGCCGGUUGUGAUAAAGCUUGAAAUCGAACCAGGGUCUGUAGUGACGCCUCUAGCACUGAGAUGCAGUGCCUUAGACCUCUGAACCACUCGCAAGUUUGAAUUUACUAGAGGUUUGAUUUCAAGUGUUGUUGAAGUUGAUUGACAUGAUAUAUUAUUUGUUAUUUUUGUCACGUACAGUUGUUGAUAUUGAAUUUCUGUUGGGGAUAGAGGAUAGUGCUCAGUUUUAUUCUGACUGUUGCGUGUGUGUGUGCGAGGGUGGGGGGGGGGGGUUCUUCGAUUCCUGUAAAUAUCUAAACUACACAGUUAUUCCAACAAGGAUAAUUCUCCCUCGUGGGGACAUUUUCCCACAUCCCCAUGAGGACAAAAAAAUAUUUUAGGUUUAGUGGUUAGGGUUAGUAUGAGAGGUUUGGGUUAUGGUUACGUGUUAAGGUUAGGGUUAGUAUGAGAGGUUUGGGUUAUGGUUACGUGUUAAGGUUAGGGUUAGCUCUUAGGGAAAAUAGGAUUUUGCAUGGAAAUACAUUUUAGGUCCCCAUGAGGAUUGAAGAACAUAAGAUGUGUGUGUUAUGGAGCAUGUCUAAGUCAGUGGACAGGCUGGAGGGCAGUGUUAUAUUCAUCCUCUCUGUUCCUGAACUGAGCUGGAGGGCAGUGCUAUAUUUAUCCUCUCUGUUCCUGAACUGAGCUGGAGGGCAGUGCUAUAUUUAUCCUCUCUGUUCCUGAACUGAGCUGGAGGGCAGUGUUAUAUUCAUCCUCUCUGUUCCUGAACUGAGCUGGAGGGCAGUGCUAUAUUCAUCCUCUCUGUUCCUGAACUGAGCUGGAGGGCAGUGCUAUAUUUAUCCUCUCUGUUCCUGAACUGAGCUGGAGGGCAGUGCUAUAUUUAUCCUCUCUGUUCCUGAACUGAGCUGGAGGGCAGUGCUAUAUUUAUCCUCUCUGUUCCUGAACUGAGCUGGAGGGCAGUGCUAUAUUUAUCCUCUCUGUUCCUGAACUGAGCUGGAGGGCAGUGCUAUAUUUAUCCUCUCUGUUCCUGAACUGAGCUGGAGGGCAGUGCUAUAUUUAUCCUCUCUGUUCUUGAACUGAGCUGGAGGGCAGUGCUAUAUUUAUCCUCUCUGUUCCUGAACUGAGCUGAACUCUCCUGGAAGAUACUAAGACCAGUCAUGUCUGCCACACACACACACACACACACACACACACACACACACACACACACACACACACACACACACACACACACACAGUAGGCUCUCCCAGGGAGCCAGACGUGCAUGAUGGAAGGAUGAUUUCCUGCCCCUCUCUCUCGUGUGUGGGUUGGUCGGUGUGUUUGUGUGUGUGUGUGUGUGUGUUCAAGUCGGUGGUUCUAUUUGCGUGCUCAUUAGUAGUACCCACCUGCUGUUGAAAUCGUCACCCAGGGUUUGUAAUCGUGGCAGGACGUCACAGUGGAAAAUAUGUCCAGUCAACUAUCCAUCCUCACGUGUGUUGUCAUAUCCCACUGUCUGAUUCUUCCAGGUUUCUGACUUAUCCCAUUUAGUUUUUCCCAGCCGUGUAUUUUGGGACUUUGUAUUGGUAAAACGGGAAUUCUUCUUUCGGGAAUUGGAGAGUCGGUUAUAAUUUUUUUUUAAAGUCACAGGUCACAGGUAGGGAUGAGUCAUUGUCUGAAAAGUUGAAAGCUAAGAAUCAUAGGAUGCUGUUUUUGUUACCAUCGUCCUCAUCCUCUUCCUUCUCAUGGCUGAUAAAACCAGUGACAUGAUGACUUCCCAUCCAAACAUGGAAAUGAAUACCUCUUUGUCAGUUUGUACUUUCCCCAUUGUUAAUGUUAGUUUCUGGAAUACAGCUGUUGUCUUCUCUGCUCAAACAUCACACAGCCCUCUUUUCAGAAGCUGUACAUUUAGUCGAAUUGCUGUUCUAUUAUACAUUUGCCAGACUAUAUCAUGUGUAAAUGUGUUGCGUUUGUGAAGUGUGUGAAAACUAUGCUUUUGUUUUCACACAUUAUUGCAAAAAUAUUUUUGCUUAAAUGUUCUUUGUUAAGGUGAGCUGUGUAGCCAUCUUUGUUAAGGUGAGCUGUGUAGCCAUCUUUGUUAAGGUGAGCUGUGUAGCCAUCUUUGUUAAGGUGAGCUGUGUAGCCAUCUUUGUUAAGGUGAGCUGUGUAGCCAUCUUUGUUAAGGUGAGCUGUGUAGCCAUCUUUGUUAAGGUGAGCUGUGUAGCCAUCUUUGUUAAGGUGAGCUGUGUAGCCAUCUUUGUUAAGGUGGGCUGUGUAGCCAUCUUUGUUAAGGUGAGCUGUGUAGCCAUCUUUGUUAAGGUGAGCUGUGUAGCCAUCUUUGUUAAGGUGAGCUGUGUAGCCAUCUUUGUUAAGGUGAGCUGUGUAGCCAUCUUUGUUAAGGUGGGCUGUGUAGCCAUCACACUCACUCUGUUAAGCUGAGCUGUGUAGCCAUCUUUAAGGUGGGCUGUGUAGCCAUCUUUAAGGUGGGCUGUGUAGCCAUCUUUAAGGUGGGCUGUGUAGCCAUCUUUGUUAAGGUGGGCUGUGUAGCCAUCUUUGUUAAGGUGAGCUGUGUAGCCAUCUUUGUUAAGCUGAGCUGUGUAGCCAUCUUUGUUAAGCUGAGCUGUGUAGCCAUCUUUGUUAGCUGAGCUGUGUAGCCAUCUUUGUUAAGCUGAGCUGUGUAGCCAUCUUUGUUAGCUGAGCUGUGUAGCCAUCUUUGUUAGCUGAGCUGUGUAGCCAUCUUUGUUAAGCUGAGCUGUGUAGCCAUCUUUGUUAAGGUGAGCUGUGUAGCCAUCUUUGUUAAGCUGAGCUGUGUAGCCAUCUUUGUUAAGCUGAGCUGUGUAGCCAUCUUUGUUAAGGUGAGCUGUGUAGCCAUCUUUGUUAAGGUGAGCUGUGUAGCCAUCUUUGUUAAGGUGAGCUGUGUAGCCAUCUUUGUUAAGCUGAGCUGUGUAGCCAUCUUUGUUAAGCUGAGCUGUGUAGCCAUCUUUGUUAAGGUGAGCUGUGUAGCCAUCUUUGUUAAGGUGAGCUGUGUAGCCAUCUUUAAGGUGGGCUGUGUAGCCAUCUUUGUUAGCUGAGCUGUGUAGCCAUCUUUGUUAGCUGAGCUGUGUAGCCAUCUUUGUUAAGCUGAGCUGUGUAGCCAUCACACUCACUUUGUUGGAAUAUGGAACCCUUCGGAGCUUAGUGUCUCUGUGGCCAAUGUUUACCAGGCUGCAGGUACAGAACGUGCAGCUGUGCUUGACUUGUGUUGUGCUCUUUUGUGGGGGAUCCGAUUUCAAGCCAGGCUUGUGUUUGGUGGGAGUGGGAUGAUGUGAAUGCAGUGGGGAGGGAAGGUGGAUGAGUCCAUAUUGUCAAUGCUGACUGGUUUCAGAAAAUACAUUUGCAGAGAUGGUUUCAAAUGCUACUGUAAGUGCAAUGGAGAAGAGCGAGGAGGCAUAUAUUCUAUUGUAUGUUGGGUGGGUGGGCCGGGUUACCGUGGCAACAUAUCGUGGUGACCACGGGGGAAGUGAAGUUCUCAGUACAUUUACACGUUGAUCUCUUUAAAGCUUCUGAUUUAAAACAAAAAAAAAGACUGAUGACUGUUUGCUUCUUAGAGCUAAAUGAAUUUCUAUUAAAUAUUUUAAAAAAGAUUGCUCAAACUGAUUGUGUGCAAUUGUAAUGAUGGAAAUUCAAUAAAAAAGGUAUUUUUACA